CACAAAAGUUAUAUUUAUCUAAUUUUUUUAUCCAUUCUUUGGAAUGAGUCUCAUUAGAUCCUAAAGUAUUAAAACAACACGGAAAACAACUGAUACUUUAGAAAGUAGAUAAAUAUGCAAAAAUAGCCGAAAGCAGCAACCAAACACGUAUUAUUACUUUUCCAACAUAAUAGUGAGCCGAAAAGUCAUCAAAACAUUGAAGAACCCCAUUUAUACUACAAUUCAGUUAAAGGUUUGGAAAUUUACGCUGAUCUUUAUGUAUCUUACAUAUAUGUAUAAGCGAAUAACUAGCAGCCCCACCCAAUCAAAAAAUCAAAAUGAGACGACGACUGAACACCCAUCAGCUUUAGCUGCCCUUCACUGUGACGCAGAGUUCAAACUUAAGGCCAAGAACAAGUUUCAACAACAAUCAUUAUGGAUUAGCUGGCUGUUUGUCUGCUAAUUUGUGCACAUAAAUUGUGGCGCAUGUUGGGCUAAGCGAAAUAGAGCAGUAAAGCAGUGGAUAGUGUAAUAAGUACGUGAUAUUUUAGAUGGUAUCUCAAUGAUGUAGACUUUAUGUCGCUUUCAAGGAGUUUUUUUUACUCAAAAUUAUGUUUUAUACAUAAAAAAAAAAUUAAAAUUGUAAUAAAUGUUGAG